rnacentral:rRNA from 1 species
AAACUUGAGAGUUUGAUCCUGGCUCAGAACGAACGCUGGCGGCAUGCCUAACACAUGCAAGUCGAACGAAGCCUUCGGGCUUAGUGGCGCACGGGUGCG